rnacentral:pre_miRNA from 1 species
AACUGCCCUCAAGGAGCUUACAAUCUAGCUGGGGGUGAAUGACGUGCACGCGAACACAACUAGACUGUGAGCUUCUAGAGGGCAGGGG